rnacentral:rRNA from 1 species
GGACUACUGGGGUAUCUAAUCCCGUUCGCUCCCCUGGCUUUCGCACCUCAGCGUCAGAUACGCGCCAGGACACUGCCUUCGCCUUCGGUGUUCCUCCGGAUCUCUACGCAUUUCACCACUCCACCCGGAAUUCCGUGUCCCUCUCGCGCUCUCAAGUGCCGCCGUCUUUCGUAUGCUCGGAUAGUUAAGCCAUCCGCUGUCACACAAAACGCGCGCCACCGCCUGCAUGCCCUUUACGCCCAGUAACUCCGGACAACGCUCGCCCCCUACGUAUUACCGCGGCUGCUGGCAC